rnacentral:rRNA from 1 species
CCGAUGACUCGGGGAUAGCCUUUCGAAAGAAAGAUUAAUACCCGAUGGCAUAGUUCUUCCGCAUGGUAGAACUAUUAAAGAAUUUCGGUCAUCGAUGGGGAUGCGUUCCAUUAGGUUGUUGGCGGGGUAACGGCCCACCAAGCCUUCGAUGGAUAGGGGUUCUGAGAGGAAGGUCCCCCACAUUGGAACUGAGACACGGUCCAAACUCCUACGGGAGGCAGCAGUGAGGAAUAUUGGUCAAUGGACGAGAGUCUGAACCAGCCAAGUAGCGUGAAGGAUGACUGCCCUAUGGGUUGUAAACUUCUUUUAUACGGGAAUAAAGUGAGGCACGUGUGCCUUUUUGUAUGUACCGUAUGAAUAAGGAUCGGCUAACUCCGUGCCAGCAGCCGCGGUAAUACGGAGGAUCCGAGCGUUAUCCGGAUUUAUUGGGUUUAAAGGGAGCGUAGGCGGACGCUUAAGUCAGUUGUGAAAGUUUGCGGCUCAACCGUAAAAUUGCAGUUGAUACUGGGUGUCUUGAGUACAGUAGAGGCAGGCGGAAUUCGUGGUGUAGCGGUGAAAUGCUUAGAUAUCACGAAGAACUCCGAUUGCGAAGGCAGCUUGCUGGACUGUAACUGACGCUGAUGCUCGAAAGUGUGGGUAUCAAACAGGAUUAGAUACCCUGGUAGUCCACACAGUAAACGAUGAAUACUCGCUGUUUGCGAUAUACAGUAAGCGGCC